rnacentral:lncRNA from 1 species
UCCUUGUAACUUAGGUGGGUCAAUUUCUCCACCUGGUUGCCCAUCACGCUGCGGACACACGUUCACACCGCCGCAAGGGGAGAAAGCGAAACCAACUCCAGGGUCAUUUGCACAGGUCCCCGGACAGGGGCUGAGGCUACCUGUUGGGAGAGGAAGGCAAGAAAGCCAUGCAGGAGCCCCUCCGUGAAAAGGGCGUUUUGUUCCGAAAAAGAAUCGGUGGGGGCUCAGCACCUGGAGCCAUUUUAGGGGGAAGUCUCGGGUGUAGCGAGCUUUCCCUCGUUUCUCCACCUGUAAGGUCACGGUCACAGGAGACUGGGCAACUCCUGUUCUCCCUGUCCCCAGCCCUUCGCCUGGCCCUGGCAAAAGCCCAUUGCAUCAGCAGCUUCUACUGCUUCCGCCUGCGCCCUACCUGCCAAGCUUGGGCAGGAAGAGGGAAGGAAAGAGAAACUUUACGCCAAUCCCCCCCCUCCUCUGCUAACUUCCCCUCCCACCCUCGGGCCCUAACUAGCCCCGGGGACGCCUCCUCCCCACCAACGCAUCCAUCCCCAGAGGAACAAGCGAGGAUCUCAGAGCGCGACCUGGACAGGCUCUCACAAAAGUCACCGCGUUUGUGUAGGUAACUAAGGCCUACCGAAACCAGUCAGCCCUAAGUGCACACAGGAGAACCAUGGAGUUGGAGGAAAAGUGUCUUGCCUUAGACGACGUUUGAGAAUUUGUCAGAACAGGGCCUGGAGGGAAUAAAAAGGAGGUGAGAAGUCUCUGUAGAGAUCAUCAACAUGGCCCAUCUCUCCUUAAAAGGAUGUGAAGACAAGACAUAUUAGCAGAGGUGGAUUUACUCUGAAACUGAUGAAGGUCCCAUACAGAGAGAAGAAACAGACAACCUGAAUCACAUUCAAAAGAGAGUCUCCACAAUAGUGAGGGCUGCAAAACCAGGUGACAUGAAAACCAAGAGAAUGAAUUACAUAGAUUUGUUUAACCUAAGGAAGAAAAGAUUCUGGACACGUGAGGGCCGAUUUUCAUUCCUCAGAGCUCUCUCCUUUGGAGGCUUCUUUGUUUGGGCCCCACUUCCAUUCUUCACAUUCAGCAGUUACUGGGAGACGACCUUACCAUGGCCUGUCCCUCCGUGUUCAUCCCAAUCGCAUCCAGAUGCCUCUCUGGCCUCAUCUCCUAGUGUUCCUGUGUCCGGAAUUGGUGGGUUCUUGGUCUCGCUAACUUCAACAAUGAAGCCUCGGACCCUGGCGCCUGAAGAAUCCCUGAAAUGGCUAAUUUCCAGAUAUUGGGAAUCUGGAAUUCGAAGCCCAAAGAGGACACAGGACCUGCCCAAGUAUACACAGCUUGUUGUUGACAGAACCAGAACAACACACAGUUCUCUUUUCUUCCAGAAAAGUGGGGCUGGUUCCAUUUCUCACUCCUGUCUUCCUUUGGAUGGAGGAAAAUGAUAAUGAAACCUAACAUAAUGCCUAUUUCAACUUCAGAAAUUUUCCUCAAAUAAUUGAAUCAGUAGGUUUGAGGCUUCUUGGGAAUCAUUAUGUUAGACCUGAAACAGAAAUAGCCAAUCCCUUGGUUGAAACGUGUUACAUUUAAAUUGAUACUGCUUUUCCCCAAAGUGCAAUUAGAAAAGACAAAGACCUACUUCUGUAAAUGUUGUUAAGGGAAAAUGGAGCAGGUGUCUCCUUUCUUUCAUUUCUCUGGGUCAGUUGUACUCCUGAAGUCUCUCUCUGUUUAGAUGUCUAUUGUUGUUCUCGGUUGCCAGGGAUGAUUCUCCCAGUGGCUGCUGAGGAUUGCUUUAGGUGAAAAGAUAAAUUCACAGGGCCAGGGAAAGGGGCAACCUCAAAUGUGCCAGACACGUCCCAUACACUGACUCCUUCAGGCUUCACAACCACACUGGAGGCCACGCAUUAUGUUUCCUGUAUGUAUUAUUUCAUCCAUUUGUCUAAUAGAAUAUUAUUUAAUGUCCAUUAAGUUCCAGCACUGUGGAAGCAGUGAUGAGACUGAAUAAAAGAGACACUGUCCCUGUCUCUGUGGAUCUUGCUUUCUGGCAGAAGAGCUGGACAGUAAAUGAAUAAUUAAAUACAAUUUUCACUGUCAACCCCAUUUUAUAGAUGAGGAGGCUGAGGCUCAGUUGGUUAAAGUACCUGGCAGGAGCCAUUCACCAAUUAACCAGGAGAAUGUAAGGUCCACAGCUUGCCCAUGUUCCACCACACUGACCCUUAGCAUUAUGUUUCUGGAGAGAAUAAACAGAUAGGAAUCUCAAGGGGUCCCUUCCUUUCAGAACACAAAGAGGGUUGAGCCAUCACCAACAAACACAGGCAAAUGCAGAGCACCAACAGCCUGAGGUAAAAACCACCACAGGAUACUCACGGUUUCACUUUUUUUUUUUUUU